ACGCACCCUUCAUCUUUCCAGCCUUGUGCAUAAGAGCUUUUCUGGGAAGCUCCCACCCUACCUGAGCAGAAUUCUCUCCCCGGCUGCUCCCACUUCCUAUAAACUCCGAUCCAGUACCAAAACUUUAGUCUACCUCAAUACAAAAAGAAAGCGACUCGAUCCACCUUUCCUACAGAGCACCCCAAUUAUGGAACAACCUCCAGCACACUUUCAAAUCUUC